UACGGGGGGGGCAAGCGUUGUUCGGAAUUACUGGGCGUAAAGGGUUCGUAGGUGGCCCGCUAAGUCACACGUGAAAUCCCUCAGCUUAACUGGGGAACUGCGUGUGAGACUGGCAGGCUUGAGUGCAGGAGAGGAACGCGGAAUUCCAGGUGUAGCGGGUGAAAUGCGUAGAUAUCUGGAGGAACACCGGUGGCGAAGGCGGCGUUCUGGACUGUAUCUGACACUGAGGAGCGAAAGCCAGGGGAGCAAACGGG
rnacentral:rRNA from 1 species